GCCCGCUUGGCUCAGUGGUAGAGCGUAUCACUAGUAGCCGACAAGCAAAUGAUAAGGUCAUCAGUUCGAUUCUGAUAGUGGGCA